UUUACUUGUUUUUUCAAAUUUGGCCAAGGCAUCUGCUGCCACUUGUGUGGAUCUCCUUCUUCUAGUUUCAUGAUUUUAGAGACUGGGUUAGCCCUCCCUGUGGCACAUUCUGGGUCCAUGGGCACGGCUGCUAUUUGCAUGCCUUGUACAACUGAAUGUAUUAGUCUAAUAAAACAUGGUAUCAGGCAGGGUAAGAAUAUGAUUCCUGCUACUGAACACAGGAUGAAGAAUGUUAAUUUUUUCCACCAUGCUCCAUCAAACAGAUUAUCCCACCAAGAUGCAUUUAAGAUAGAAUUCCAUUUCUGGACUGGGACAUGAGCAAGACUCUUUAUUUCCGCUGCCAAACCCCUAAUGGUCUCUCCAUAGUCAUCUAUUUCAAUACAGCAUUCCAACUCACUAAAUUUCCUGAAGACUCUCCCUUCCUCUGCUAAUAAGUAGUCUAGGGCUGUCCUGUUUUGGUAUACAAAUGCCCUCAUUUAGGAGUGCUCCUUAGAUAGUAACUCCAGGGUGUCUGAAGUAUGAUUUGAAACAAUUUCCACUACUGCUUGGAGUCUUAUUAACCAGUUUAGCAGGUAUAUCAGGGUUCUGUAACCCCAACUUCCAUCUUGGGCCCAAUUUGCUGGUCCAUAAUAUUCUAUAAUUCAUUCUGUGGGCCACUCUUCCCCUCUCCAAGUUUGGCUUCCCUCAAAAAUAGGAAAUUUCUUCUUUACCUCCCUCUUUUGUCUGUUCGGAGUUUCAUACAAAGGAGCUCCUAGUGAGCUGCUUUCUGACCGAGGUAAAGGAAAGAAUACGAGUCUUAUUAUUCCUAAAGUACAGGAACCUUUCUAUUUUUGAGGCAAUUCACUAUAAGCCUUUUUCCCAGAGAUCCAAUAUAAACCGUUAGGAGCCUUCCAUUUACUGGCAGUACUCCCUGGUUCAUUCAGUAACCUUUCAAUCCUUCCAGAGAUUGGUAAGGGUUAGGUCAAGAGGCUUUAUUCCAGCAUAGUCCAAUUUUAUCACUCCACUCACAAUUCUUUCCCUUUUCCUGGUUCCAACACCCCACUGGGAGCUUUGGUUGCCAGGUUUUACUUUUAGCAUUUGAAUUUACCACUAGAGUGGAGAUACAAGGGGUAUAUCCAACUACUUCGGUAUACUCCCUCCCUUCCUGGCUAAUACAGAUUGUUCCAGUUACUCGUUGGUCCAAAACACAAUCCUACGGUUGUUGUAUUAGUCCGGAUAUUUUAGUGUUAUCCCAUUUAAGAAGCUGCUCUGGAGCUAAACUCUCGCCUUUCCAAGGCCAUUUCUCUGCCGAUUUCAGUCCUCCACAAAUCCAACAAUCAGACAAUCUUAAUUCCGUCAUGAUUUCCUGCAUCAAAUCUAUAAAAAUAUUUUUGUCCGAAGCAGACAACCCCAGAUUGUUGUACUGUUUCUCCAGCUGGGCAUAGUGUUCCGUUAGGGUCCUCAACCUUUCUUGCUCCACCCUCCUUUUCCUCAUCUCUGCCUCCUGUCUUUUUAACUCUUGUGCCACUUGUUUUAUUCUACUCUCUGGGUCCAAUCCCUCUUUGUUCCGGGAGAAACAAAAGGUCAAGUCAUACUGAAAACAUGUUCAGUCAUCAUGAUUUUCGAGAAGGUUGAUGAUAACCGGUUCCUUUUUAAGUGGCGACUUAUGCCCGUAUUUCAAGUUCUUCCCCACCCAGUAUGUUUUUCCCCCCAUUAUACACAUUUCCAGUAAGUUAUUAUCAUAACACACUUUAUUCACCUGGAAAUACCCGACAAAUACAGAUUACAUUCUACCCCCAGUCCAUACAGUACAAUUGCAUCUGUUACAAACAGGGAUAGGUGCUUGUCUCACCUGUCUUUUGUGUUGGGCGUGCUCUGACUCUCCAAUAUGAGAUGCUGCCUAUUUCAAGUAGCAAAUCUCCUUUCCAUUUACUUUGCAUAUCCCAUAUCGGGUGCCAUUGAAGAGACAGUACCUGCCUUUUCCAUCUCCAUCACAGUUUCCCAAGGCUGGGUGGGUCGAAGCCUCCACUUUGCCCCGUCCGUCCAGGAUGGUUUGCAUCUACCGUCCACACUUGUUACUGGAGACCUGUUCUCCCAAGCCGAGUGGGUGCGCACUAAUCCUGAGGCACAUGACUAGACUCAGGCUCGUCAGGACUUCCCCUAGUUUCAUUCCUCUGCCUCUGUCUCUGCCCACUGGGGUGCCUCCAGUGGCAGGGAGAACUAUCUUCUUGGCAGCAGGAAUAUCCUUCACGGGUAUCGUACCUGGCUCAAGCCGCAUAUCUCCUUUUAAAAGUGUCCCACCUGGAUAACUUGACUGCUAUGGUGCUGCAAGGUACUUUGUUUAAUCUCCAGCACUCGAUUGCUAAGAUUUUUGCUCUGGAUCUCAGUUGUCCCCUUACCCCAUUCUGAAAUGGCCGAAACCACACUAGUGAAUCCAUCUUGAUUACCCCCAAAUCUGUGAGGAGUGUUAAGAUUAGGUUAGUCAGACGCACUUCUCCGUCCAAGCACUUAUUGCAUAGACCUCUUGGCCACGCCCCUCUUCUGCAGUGUACCACCCACACCUUGUUACAAUAUUUGCACUUGAAUUGAGCGAACAGGUAGCAAUUACAGCCUGGCUCUGAACAUCUUAUUUGGUCGUUCUCGGUCAUUUACUUGGCCGAUGCAGAAUUAAUUUCAGGUCCCCAGGUGGAGAAGCAACAUUCCACUCAGGGUUCUCUUCUCGCGGUUCAACCCUCUUUACUCGCAAAGCAUGGGUCCAGCCUUUUUCUGCUGUUCGCACUGCUGUAUCUGUGGUUAGAAGAACAAGAAAUGGCCCUUCCCAGUGGGGGGAGAGGGGAACAUCUCUCCAAGUUUCUAUGAGUACUUUAUCCCCAGGUUGAAUUUGGUAACUGUGAACCCCAGGGGAGUGUUUUGCAUUAAAAUUCCCUGCUUCCUUAGUUCCUGUAGGUUUUUACCUAUGGUUAUCAGGUAAGCUCGUAUCUGACCAUCUUCCACUCUUGGGUGUCCUAUAGGCAUUCUGUAUUCAUAGGGCAUCCCAUACAACAUUUCAAAAGGUGAUAGUCCUGUUUCAGAAUGAGGCAGCGUCCUGAUAUUUAACAGAGCCAAGGGAAGGCACUUUAUCCAGGACAUCUUGGUUUCCAAAAUUAAUUUGGAUAGUUGGGAUUUCAAAGUCUGGAUCAUUCUUUCCACCUGUCCUCAACUCUGGGGAUGUGAUAUUCCCAGAGGACUCCUAAAGCCUCAGCUAAUUGUCUGAUAAUUCUCAAAGUGAAAUAUGUGCUCUGGUCCGAAUCUAUAUACUUUACCAAACCAUACCAAGGUAUGAUUUCUUAUAGUAGGCACCUUGACACUACUUGUGCUGUAGCCCUGGAGCUUGCAGUGUGUCAGCUUAUCUACCAUUACUAGAAGACAUCUGUAUCUUCCUACCUGUGGCAUAUUGGUGAAAUCCACCUGGAUCCUUUCAAAUGGUCGGUAUGCCACUGGGCGGCUACCUGAUGCCACUUGUCUCACCCUAGCCCGAUUGACCCUCUGACAUAUCAUACAUCCUUGUACUUCUUGUUUAACUAGCUUGUAAAUCCCUUGGUAGCCAAAAAACUUUUAAAACUGCUCAGCCAGUGCUUAUGCUCCCCAGUGGGUUUGCGAGUGAAGCCUCUUUAAAAUUUUUCUAGUAUACUCUUUGGAUAGUAAUUCCCUCUCAUCUGGCAAUUUCCACUUAGCUUCCUCUCGUUUUCCCCCAAUAUUCUUGUACCCCUCAAUUUCUUUCUGACAGAGUAGUGGGGGAAAUUCUCAUACCUCCCCCACUUUGACUUCUGGGGUGCUUACCUGCAGCAAUGCCGUGUUUCUAGCCUCCUUAUCAACUAAGUUAUUUCUUGGGCCCGAAACUGUAGUCCCGCCUGGUGUCCUUUUACAUGAAUGACCGCAAUUGCUUCGGGUUCCCUUAUAGCCUCCAAAAUUUGUGUUAUUAUCCCUUCAUGCAUCAACCCUUGGCCUUUGGUGUUAAUCAGCCCACUUUCUUCCCAUGUCUUCCCAAACGUGUGAACUACUGCAAAGGCAUACUUCAAGUCCAUGAAAAUCGUCCCCUUUUUCCCUUUUAGCAUCUGCAAAGCCCUCAGUACUGCAUAUAGUUCACAGGCCUGGGCUGACCAACUGCCGUUCAAGGGCCAUGAUUCCAUGGUUUCCCCUGUCUUUCCAUCUACCACUGCAUAUCCCGAUUUCCUCUUCCCCUCUAUGAUUCAGGCUGACCUGUCUACAAACCAUUUUUGCCCUUCUUCCAGUUCCUCCUCUUCCAGUUCCGGUCUUAUUUUGGUUUGUAAUUCCACUAUCUCUGCGCAGUCAUGGGCAGGUUCCCCCAGAAUUUCUCCAUACAGGAACUGUGCUGGAUUUUGUGCUGCAGUUAUUUUUAGUUCUAAAUCGUGUGAGUGGAUCAAGAUACCUUCAUAUUUAAGAAGCCGGGUGACCGUGAGCCACUUUUCAGCCUUUUGCUGCAAAAUGCUCCUCAUGUUAUGAGGAGAAAAAACAAUGAAGGGUGCUCCAAAAGUUAUUUUCUUAGCCUCUUCUACCAAAACAGCCACCCCCACAACAGUUUGCAGACAUGUAGGCCACCCUCUGCUGAUAGGAUCCAAUAACUUUGAUACAUACCCUAGAGGUUUCUUUGAUCCGGCCCACUCCUGACUCAAUACUCUGUGGGCCGUAUGGUUACUCAUGUCCAUGAAUAGCUGAAAUGGUCUGUUCAUGUCUGGGACUCAACACCAGAGCUGUCAUAAGCAUUUCUUUCAGCUCUUUGAACCUCUCCUCAUCUUGCCGGGUCCACUUUGGUUUAUCCAUGGUGAGCUUUUCAUAAAGAAAUUUUACCUUUUCACUGUAUCCAUCAACCCACUGUCUACAAAACCCCAAAAGCCCCACUACCUACCUUACUUCCCUCUUUAAUUGAGGUAAGGCAAUUAUUCUGGCUACCCUAUCUGGGUCUAAUUUCUUCUUACCUUUGGUGAGCUAGUGCCCCAAGUACUUGACUUCAGGUUCAGUGAAUUGUAAUUUAGAUUUUGAGACUUUUAAACCCUUGUCUCCCAAAAAGUUGAGGAGGGUUAUAGUGCUUACCCUUACCAGUUCUUCUUGGGGAUCUGCCACCAGCAAAUCAUCAACAUAUUGUAGUAGUUUGGUGUCACCGUGUUAUUUUAUGAAAAAUCCUUUGCUAGGAUUUUUCCCUCCUGAGGAGCUGAGGGCCUCAGGAAAGAAAUGUAAACAAUAACUAUCUGCUGCUGUGGAAUGCAACAGGUGCAUCUGUGAUUAGUAGAUGUUGGUUGUUUCUAAUUAACAGCCAAUCACAGAUGCAGCUGGCUCGGACUCUCUGGGAGUCAGGAGUCUUUGUUAUUGAAUUCCAUUCUUGUUCUUUCUAGCAUUCUGAUGAAUCUUUUCUCUCUAUUCUUUUAGUAUAAUUUUUAGUAUAGUAUUUUAUUACAAUAUAUAUCAUAAUAAAAUAAGCCAGCCUUCUGAAACAUGGAGUUCAACAUUCACGUUUCCACACAUGGUGCACCAGACACAGCAUUUGGUGACACCCGAGCGUGUGGCAUUGAUGGUCACCCCAGAAGUGGCCACAGAGUCCAGCCUAGAGCUGAAAAACCAAGACCCUGAAGGUGGGCAGAGUUCAAAGCCAAGGCUGAAGAUAGAACCUUCUGAAGUUUCUCAACAUCAUGUCCAGAAACCACAGAGCAGCAGAGUUGUGCAGCUGGAUCCACAAGGACACUGUCUCAAGGAUUCUGCAAGCCUGUUUCAGGACCAAAAGGAACUUCCAGAGAUGUCAAAGAGGAACAUCUUCAGUCCAUGGACUCUGUCCUGAAAUUCAGCUGUUUGGACUUGAAACAAUGAACAUUCUUUGCAUGAGUUUUUUGCAUUUUCAUAUAUUGUAAGAUUGUUUUAGUGAUAUGAUAGAAUUUGAUGCUCUACAGGUGAAGAAUUUCCCUGACCAUUCCACAUCAGCAGUUGAUUGAGGUUUUGAUUGGUAACAGAUGAACCUCAAGAAGUGUUUGUUCUCUCUUCUGCAACGGCCCAGUAGAAGAAAUUAGAAACACUCUUUUUUCUUUUUAAUUUAAUAAAUUUAAAAGGGUGAAAUGUCACCGUGAUAUUUUAUGAAAAAUCCUUUGCUAGGAUUUUUCCCUCCUGAGGAGCUGAGGGCCUCAGGAAAGAAAUGUAAACAAUAACUAUCUGCUGCUGUGGAAUGCCACAGGUGCAUCUGUGAUUAGUGGAUGUUGGUUGUUUCUAAUAAAUGGCCAAUCACAGAUGCAGCUGGCUCGGACUCUCUGGGAGUCAGGAGUCUUUGUUAUUGCAUUCCGUUCUUGUUCUUUCUAGCAUUCUGAUGAAUCUUUUCUCUCUAUUCUUUUAGUGUAGUUUUUUGUAUACUAUUUUAAUAUAAUAUAUAGCAUAAUAAACCAGCCUUCUGAAA